rnacentral:lncRNA from 1 species
GGGUAGUGAAGGUAGGACGGAGAGGAUUGGAACGGGGUAGUGAAGGUAGGAUGGAGUGGAUUGGAACGGGGUAGUGAAGGUAGGACAGAGAGGAUUGGAACGGGGUAGUGAAGGUAGGACAGAGAGGAUUGGAACGGGGUAGUGAAGGUAGGACAGAGAGGAUUGGAACGGGGUAGUGAAGGUAGGAUGGAGAGGAUUGGAACGGGGUAGUGAAGGUAGGACAGAGAGGAUUGGAACGGGGGAGUGAAGGUAGGACAGAGAGGAUUGGAACGGGGUAGUGAAGGUAGGAUGGAGAGGAUUGGAACGGGGUAGUGAAGGUAGGAUGGAGUGGAUUGGAACGGGGUAGUGAAGGUGGGAAACGGGGUAGUGAAGUUGGAACGGGGGAGUGAAGGUAGGAUGGAGAGGAUUGGAACGGGGCCUCGGGGGGAGUGAAGGUAGGAUGGAGAGGCUUGGAACGGGGUAGUGAAGGUAGGACGGAGAGGAUUGGAACGGGGUAGUGAAGUUGGAACGGGGUAGUGAAGGUAGGACAGAGAGGAUUGGAACGGGGUAGUGAAAGUAGGAUGGAGAGGAUUGGAACGGGGGAGUGAAGGUAGGAUGGAGUGGAUUGGAACGGGGUAGUGAAGGUAGGACGGAGAGGAUUGGAACGGGACCUCGGGGGGAGUGAAGGUAGGACGGAGAGGAUUGGAACGGGGUAGUGAAGGUAGGAUGGAGAGGAUUGGAACGGGACCUCGGGGGGAGUGAAGGUAGGACGGAGAGGAACGGGGGAGUGAAGGUAGGACGGAGAGGAUUGGAACGGGGGCGUACUCUGAGUUUCCUCUUGGGGGCUUUGUGUUUGGCGGUUGUUGCUCCCCU